UACGGAGGGCGCAAGCGUUAUCCGGAUUCACUGGGUUUAAAGGGCGCGUAGGCGGGCCGUUAAGUCAGGGGUGAAAUCCCGGAGCUCAACUCCGGAACUGCCUUUGAUACUGGCGAUCUUGAGUUCGAGAGAGGUGAGUGGAACUGCGAGUGUAGAGGUGAAAUUCGUAGAUAUUCGCAAGAACACCAGUGGCGAAGGCGGCUCACUGGCUCGAUACUGACGCUGAGGUGCGAAAGCGUGGGGAGCAAACAGG
rnacentral:rRNA from 1 species